rnacentral:rRNA from 1 species
GAUGAACGCUGGCGGCGUGCCUAAUACAUGCAAGUCGAGCGAACAGACGAGGAGCUUGCUCCCCUGACGUUAGCGGCGGACGGGUGAGUAACACGUGGAUAACCUACCUAUAAGACUGGGAUAACUUCGGGAAACCGGAGCUAAUACCGGAUUAUAUAUUGAACCGCAUGGUUCAAUAGUGAAAUACGGUUUUGCUGUCACUUAUAGAUGGAUCCGCGCCGCAUUAGCUAGUUGGUAAGGUAACGGCUUACCAAGGCAACGAUGCGUAGCCGACCUGAGAGGGUGAUCGGCCACACUGGAACUGAGACACGGUCCAGACUCCUACGGGAGGCAGCGGUAGGGAUUCUUCCGCAAUGGGCGAAAGCCUGACGGAGCAACGCCGGGUGAGUGAUGAAGGUCUUCGGAUCGUAAAACUCUGUUAUUAGGGAGGAAGAAAUGUGUAGGUAACUAUGCACGUCUUGACGGUACCUAAUCAGAAAGCCACGGCUAACUACGUG